rnacentral:rRNA from 15 species
GCCUACGGCCAUACCACCCUGAACACGCCCGAUCUCGUCCGAUCUCGGAAGCUAAGCAGGGUCGGGCCUGGUUAGUACUUGGAUGGGAGACCGCCUGGGAAUACCAGGUGCUGUAAGCU